ensembl:lncRNA
AUUCAAUUUCCUUAUACAAAUUCAAUAGCAUUACAUUUCCUUAUACAAAUUCAAUAGCAUUACAUUUCCUUAUACAAAUUCAAUAGCAUUACAUUUCCUUAUACAAAUUCAAUAGGAUUCAAUUUCCUUAUACAAAUUCAAUAGCAUUACAUUUCCUUAUACAAAUUCAAUAGCAUUACAUUUCCUUAUACAAAUUCAAUAGCAUUACAUUUCCUUAUACAAAUUCAAUAGCAUUACAUUUCCUUAUACAAAUUCAAUAGGAUUCAAUUUCCUUAUACGAAUUCAAAAUUAUUCAAUUCAGAUUCAAUUUCUGGUGUCAUUUGUCAUCUUUGCUUUUACCCGAAACCCAUCUUUCCAAAAUGGAAAAUAUGCCUGUACAUUUUGAAGUAACAGCUAGGGUCUUAGGGCUACAACAGUAAAUAGUCAGAGUGAUCUGACAGUCCUGUUAAUGUCAGUGUGUGUAAAAGCUAUAACACUACUUAACACUGAAAGUUAUGUUGAAUGCAUUACGAUGUGGUUUAUAAUGCAUUAUAAAACAUGUUAUAAUCAUGUAUGACCCCUCCCCCCUUUGAUAAAGUCUUACCUCAUAAUGAUCAUCUCAAAUUUCAGUCAGUUGAAAACAUGAUACAUAGAGAGACGUAUUACAGGCUUUUAAAACAAGACUGAUGCUUUCUUACAACAGGUAAUAAAGUGUUGUAGCUGCUUCAAGUGGUACUAGUUAUACCACCUGUUGUGUUGAUUCUCUCAGGGUACUUUUACUGUGUGCACUGGGAAGACCUUGCAAGCUGUAGGGUUUUUAACCCAUUGAGGUCUAACAGUAUAUGUACUGUAUUUGUGUUUUCCAUUGUCAUCAUUGAAGCCUUCAUUAACAGUUCUUUAGAACACAUAUUUAGCCUAGCUGAUUAUGGGAAUAGUCUGUGCCAUUGUGAAUAUGAUAUGGAAGAAUUAUUAAAAGUUUUAAAAAAUGACGAGUGUGUGGUUUUACCUGUACUGUGAUUAUUAGUAAUGUGUUUUUUAUUUUAUUUUUAAUGUAGAACUGUGGUUAGCACAUUUAUUUAGAAA